rnacentral:ncRNA from 19 species
CUCUUAUCCUGAGAGGUGGAGGGACUGGCCCUAUGAAACCCAGCAACCAUUCGGUUAAGCCCGGACUGGUGCUAAUUCCUGCAGAAGAUAUUCUUCUGGCAGAUAAGAG